rnacentral:lncRNA from 1 species
GGAUAGACACUGACACAUUAUCAGCUUCAGGAGAAUCUUCAGCUUCAAGGGAGUCAUCAACAUCUAAUGAGUUAUCUGCUGAUGUGGCUGCAGUAUCUUGACUCAAGGGACAUGGAACUGGAAUAAUAGGAUCAGUAGAAUCGGGCUUCUCCUCAGCACAAGGUGAUUCAUCGAAUGGACAAGAGAGAAGCUCUUGAAAGAUAGAAGGAGAAUGAGUAACUUUUUCAUCAGUGUAUGAUUCCUCAUCAAACUUCACAUGAAUGGAUUCUUCAACACAUUGCCUGUUCACAUGAAAAACACGAAAAGCCUUUGAAAUAGAUGAGUACCCAACAAAAAUACCUUUAUNAGUGUAUGAUUCCUCAUCAAACUUCACAUGAAUGGAUUCUUCAACACAUUGCCUGUUCACAUGAAAAACACGAAAAGCCUUUGAAAUAGAUGAGUACCCAACAAAAAUGCCUUUAUCAGCUUUAGGUUCAAACUUGGAUCUUGGGUCACGCUGAUUUAG